rnacentral:siRNA from 1 species
AGAGAAGAUGCGCUACAUCAGGUC